rnacentral:lncRNA from 1 species
UGCAGGAAGCACUUAGAGUGAUGCCGAGGGCCUCUUCAGCACUCUAGUGACAUCGGUCAUCUUCUCUUUCCUUUCCCAGCCCUGCGAGUGCCGUCUUUGAUGUGCUCACAGCGUUUUGAAGACAUUAUAGACUCCAUCUACACCACCCAUGAAGCAUUUGGA